AACGAACGCUGGCGGCAUGCCUAACACAUGCAAGUCGAACGAGACCUUCGGGUCUAGUGGCUCACGGGUGCGUAACGCGUGGGAACCUUCCCUUAUGGUCGGAAUAACUCCCCGAAAGGGGUGCUAAUACCGGAUAAUGUCUUCGGACCAAAGAUUUAUUGCCCUUGGAUGGGCCCGCGUUGGAUUAGCUAGUUGUUAGGGUAAAAGCCUACUAAGGCGACGAUCAAUAGCUGGUCUGAGAGGAUGAUUAGCCACACUGGGACUGAGACACGGCCCAGACUCCUACGGGAGGCAGCAGUGGGGAAUAUUGCAAAAUGGGCGAAAGGCUGAUCCAGCACUGCCGCGUGAGUGAUGAAGGCCUUAGGGUUGUAAAGCUCUUUUAACCGGGAUGAUAAUGACAGUACCGGGAGAAUAAGCUCCGGCUAACUCCGUG
rnacentral:rRNA from 1 species